rnacentral:rRNA from 1 species
UACGGGGGGGGCAAGCGUUGUUCGGAAUUACUGGGCGUAAAGGGCUCGUAGGCGGCCAACUAAGUCAGACGUGAAAUCCCUCGGCUUAACCGGGGAACUGCAUCUGAUACUGGAUGGCUUGAGUUCGGGAGAGGGAUGCGGAAUUCUAGGUGUAGCGGUGAAAUGCGUAGAUAUCUGGAGGAACACCGGUGGCGAAGGCGGCAUCCUGGACCGACACUGACGCUGAGGAGCGAAAGCCAGGGGAGCAAACGGG